AAGUCGUAACAAGGUUUCCGUAGGUGAACCUGCGGAAGGAUCAUUAUCGAGUUUGUUUUGGGUCGCGGAGGGGUGGUUGAGGCUUCGAUGCUGGCGGAGGUAACACUCUGCACUUUGUGCUCGGCUUUACCUUUCUUUUGCGGCCCUUAAUCCAAAUCAAACCACACUUGUGCACAUUCGAGGUCUUUGGUCUGGUAGCUUCCCCCCGUCGUUUGUUCGACGGGAGUCGCUGGUCUCCUCGGGGGGAUUGGCUGGGCUAUCAGGCUGGGGCUUCGCCCAAUUACAAACGAUUUAUUACUGUCUGUCAGAAUGCAAUGCUCCUCGGGGCGAAACAUAAUAUAA
rnacentral:misc_RNA from 1 species